rnacentral:rRNA from 1 species
CCUACGGGGGGCUGCAGUAACGAAUCUUCCGCAAUGCACGAAAGUGUGACGGAGCGACGCCGCGUGUAGGACGAAGCCCUUCGGGGUGUAAACUACUGUCAGGGGAAAGAAAGUUCUGAUCUACCCCAGAGGAAGGGACGGCUAACUCUGUGCCAGCAGCCGCGGUAAGACAGAGGUCCCGAGCGUUAGGCGGAAUCACUGGGCUUAAAGCGUGUGUAGGCGGAUUUGUAAGUACCUUGUGAAAUCCCACGGCUCAACCGUGGAACUGCUUGGUAUACUGCUUAUCUUGGGCCAGCUAGGGGCUACCGGAACAAGUGGUGGAGCGGUGAAAUGCGUAGAUAUCACUUGGAACGCCAAUGGUGAAAACAGGUAGCUGGGGCUGUGCCGACGCUGAGACACGAAAGCCAGGGGAGCGAACGGGAUUAGAUACCCCAGUAGUC